UACGGAGGAUGCAAGCGUUAUCCGGAUUUAUUGGGCGUAAAGCGUCCGCAGGUGGCUAUACAAGUCUGCUGUUAAAGCGUGGGGCUUAACUCCAUACAGGCAGUGGAAACUGUAAAGCUAGAGUCUGGUAGGGGUCACGGGAAUUCCCAGUGUAGCGGUGAAAUGCGUAGAUAUUGGGAAGAACACCAGCGGCGAAGGCAGCUCGCUGGGACGGAACUGACGCUAAGGCGCGAAAGCGUGGGGAGCGAACAGG
rnacentral:rRNA from 1 species